UGUCACCGAGCCCUGCCGUGGGUCGGGUCCUGGUUCUGGUGGCCACGACCUGACGUUUUUUGGGUGCUCCGGGUGCGGCGGUGGAACUCAGGGGUAGCAGGAUCCACCCGUUCCCUUUGUGCCUGGAUGCAGCAUCACCAGCAACAGGCAGGGCACAGCGGCAGCUCUCCGACCCAUCGGUACAUCACCCGUACCGGUGUUUUAGCUGCGUUUUGUGCCCAGCCCGGGUUUCUAUCCCAAAUAAAGACCCUCACAACAGCUGCGCCGUGGAAGCCUCUCACUGCCGGAGCUUGCGGGCUCAGCGCGUCCGUCCGGCCUCCGCGGGGCUCCCGCUGCUCCGCCCCGGUACCGGCCCCGCCCCGGCGCGGAACAGGACGCGGCACAUCCGCUUCCCUCGGCGGUCCGGAGCGGAGGAAGGUGAGCGCCGGGGGCGGCGGACUCGGGAGCACUGGGAGGGGGGGGGACCCUCGGUGCCUGUCCCCGCUGCAGGGCGGUAUGAGCGCGGCUAAGCCCAAGCGCAUCAAGUUCUCGGACGAGGAGAAAUUCCUCAUCCUGGAGGAGUUCAGCCUCCGCAAGGACAUCCUCAUCCCCAAGAGCGGCCGAUACCGCAACACGCAGGACCGGCAGCGCGCGUGGGAGGAGAUCGCGGCCGCCGUCAACGCGCUGAGCCCGGUGGUGCGGCGCACGGCCGAGGAGAUCCGCAAGAAGUGGCACAACAUGGUGCUGGACGCGCGCCGGGAGCUGGCAGCCGACAAGCACCCGCUGCUCCGACAGCGGCCCCAGGAGCGGCUCCUCCAUCACAUCUUCGCCCUCUUCAACAAGCCCGGCCCAACGCCCGCCCCGUCCUUCGGGCUGCCCGCGGCCGCCCCCGAGCUGCUGCCGCACGGCCCCGCUCCGCACCGCUUCCCCGGCUCCGAGGAGAGGCCGCUGCCCGGCGCGGAGAGCAGGCUGCAGCCAACCCACGGACCGGCCGCCCCAGCGCAGGGCGCAGCCCUCGGUCCUCCGCCUGGCAACCCCGAGCCGCCCCGCGUCAAGUGCCCGCUGAGCCCCGCGCUGGGGUGGCCGUGCCUCGAGGCCAUGGCCAGCCCCGCAUCGUUGGGAACGGGCAGCCCUGGGCCCCCAGAGCCCCCGCAUGAUAACGGUGGCACAGCAGCCUCGGAGCUGUCAGAAAAGCAGAGGCAGCUGCACACCGAGAUCCUGGAGCUGCAGAAGGAGACUCUGCAGCUGCAGAAGGAGAAGAUCGUGCUGGAAAAGGAGAAGCUCCUCCUGGAAAUCCUGAAGCUGCGCAGGGAGUUGGGCACAUGA
rnacentral:lncRNA from 1 species